rnacentral:piRNA from 1 species
ACAUGCGGACACACACGGGAGAGA